CAUAACACGGUAUUAGAACUUCACAUUGUAUUAAAAUAUUACAAUAUAAUGUUUUGCAGUUACUCGGUAUUGCAUAAGAAAAAAAAUAAUAAUGCGUUAAAGCACGAAUAAUAGAAACCCGCGAGAGAGUUAGGUAUACAUCGCAUUGCAUUACAUUUUCAUUCAUUGUUCGUUUUGCAUAACUACCAAAACUAUGGUCGACCCAUGUCAUGAAAUCUCAAGAGCGGUCCAAUUGAGCAUAAAAGCAAAUCCCUUGCAACUUUCAAGAGUCCAAAAUCGGAGAACAAGCCAGUUGCUAGUAACCAAAAAAUAAAAAAUUCAUCUUUUCCUCUUCCAAACGUGUCAAGCAAUUUCUUCUUCUCCUUUCCUCCAAAUGCACAGCAUCUUAGCUCCACCACCAUGCCAUCUUGAUUUGCCACGCAACACUGCAACUCCACCACCUCGCGUCGUGUGAUAACCAACUUCACCGCCACUAUCGCACGACACCACCAGCUCCAAUGCCUUCACUAUCUACCUAUGUCAAGCUCAUAUCACAAACCUUUAAAAGAACAUAAACCAUUCACCAAUAAACAACCAAAAAGAAAAAAACUAGAUUCCAAAAUCAAGCUCAAAUCAUAAAUCAAUAAACUCAUUCGCUAAUCUCUCAAAUAAACCAAAGAUCAAAACUUUAUAUGAAAAAAAUCAAACCUCUUUUUGAUAAGUAGCAGUCUUUGUGCCCGUUCAAGAUGAAAAAAUGAUUAUGAAUUGACACUUUAAAGAAACAAGAUUUGUGUUGCGAUCAAAUUGUGGUUGCCAAUUGGGAGUUGUGACAAAAGGCAGUUGGUGAUUAGUUGAUAAAAAAAGGUUGGAGAG
rnacentral:lncRNA from 1 species